UUAAUUACCUUUUUCCAUGUUAAGUGCUUGCUCUUAAGUUCCUUAAGGCCCUCAAGAACCCCCACUAUAAACAGGGUGGUCGAAAGAUGAAAUGACUAGACGACUCUGCGGAGCAUAUUUGGAGUGAAAAGUGUUUGGUAGAGGUUCAUACAGGGAUGGAGGAGGCAGGAGUGUUGAAGGGGGACAUAUAAGUCAAAGAAUAAAGUGCAAUUAAGGAAAGUUUGAGGGUCAUGAGAAGAAACACCAUGCCCCUGAAUCACCACCCCCCUGAAUCAGACACACAGAGGUGUCAGGGGUGAGAAAGUUGUAUCAUGGCCUCCCUCAGCACACACUAAACCAUGUUGAUGGGCACAGUGGUACAUUGUGAUGUCUAAGACCCCAAAGCCACCAUUGGUGGGGGAGUGCCUAGCUGACCAAUCAGAUUGAAGGGUGUGGCUCCUCAUUGUCCUGAGAAGGUAUAUAUAGGGAGGUCAGAGGCAUAGAUUCUGUGUUAGGCCAUUUCCUGCUAUCAUCAUAAGGUAAGCAGGAAGCCACGGGAGGCAGAAGAGUUUUAAUGCGGUGUGCUUCAAGGCUGAAAGGAUGAAAUAAGACCCUUUGUCCACAGAGAAACAGAGGCAGUGUGAAUGCACGGUAUAUGACCAUGAGGGUCAGAGGAACUCUAAAAGGAACCUUGAGAAAGAAAAUCCGAUCAUAUGCCACUCAGUCGAAGAAGGUGAAGAAAACAGGAAAACAAAACUGUUUUUUCUGUUCCUGUGCCUGUAAGAAACUGAAUCAAAGCCGAAAAGCGUACCAAAUAUGAGGCAGAGUCAAAGAAGGAGGCAGAAUCAAAAGAGGAGAUAUGCUCAGCCACCCCGGAAGGAGUGACCCUGGAGAAGUACAAGCUGGGCAGCCAGUAACUGAAUAGAAAAGGUCAGACAGUUUAGAAUUGUGUCUCCAGAGGUCUGCUCUCUUAGAAAUGGCCAAGUAGGAAAAGACUGACUCUCACACUAACAUAGUAAACUGAUGGCUGCAAUUAAAAUACACAUCAUAUGGUGAAAAGACGA